GGCGUUGUGGCAGAGUGGUCUAAUGCGAUUGACUAGAAAUCAAUUCCUUUCGGGGGCGACGGUUCGAAUCCGUCCGACGUCG
rnacentral:tRNA from 8 species